UACGUAGGGGGCAAGCGUUGUCCGGAUUUAUUAGGCGUAAAGCGCGUGUAGGCGGCCAGAUAGGUCUGCUGUGAAAACUCGAGGCUCAACCUCGAGCUGUCGGCGGAAACCAUCUGGCUAGAGUCCGGAAGAGGAGAGUGGAAUUCCUGGUGUAGCGGUGAAAUGCGCAGAUAUCAGGAAGAACACCAAUGGCGAAGGCAGCUCUCUGGGACGGUACUGACGCUGAGACGCGAAAGCGUGGGGAGCGAACAGG
rnacentral:rRNA from 1 species